GAGAAAUUAGUAUAAUAUAAAUACAUCACUUUGUCAAAGUGAAAUUAAAGUUUAAACCCCUUUAUUUCUCU
rnacentral:tRNA from 1 species